GACGAACGCUGGCGGCGUGCUUAACACAUGCAAGUCGAGCGGUAAGGCCCUUUCGGGGGUACACGAGCGGCGAACGGGUGAGUAACACGUGGGUGACCUGCCCUUAGCUCUGGGAUAAGCCUGGGAAACUGGGUCUAAUACCGGAUAUGACUCCAUGACGCAUGUUGGUGGGGUGGAAAGCCUUGUGCGGCUAGGGAUGGGCCCGCGGCCUAUCAGCUUGUUGGUGGGGUGAUGGCCUACCAAGGCGACGACGGGUAGCCGGCCUGAGAGGGCGACCGGCCACACUGGGACUGAGACACGGCCCAGACUCCUACGGGAGGCAGCAGGUGGGGAAUCUUGCGCAAUGGGCGAAAGCCUGACGCAGCGACGCCGCGUGAGGGAUGACGGCC
rnacentral:rRNA from 1 species